rnacentral:rRNA from 1 species
AGUGAACGCUGGCGGUAGGCCUAACACAUGCAAGUCGAACGGCAGCACAGUAAGAGCUUGCUCUUACGGGUGGCGAGUGGCGGACGGGUGAGGAAUACAUCGGAAUCUACUUUUUCGUGGGGGAUAACGUAGGGAAACUUACGCUAAUACCGCAUACGACCUACGGGUGAAAGCAGGGGAUCUUCGGACCUUGCGCGAUUGAAUGAGCCGAUGUCGGAUUAGCUAGUUGGCGGGGUAAAGGCCCACCAAGGCGACGAUCCGUAGCUGGUCUGAGAGGAUGAUCAGCCACACUGGAACUGAGACACGGUCCAGACUCCUACAGGAGGCAGCAGUGGGGAAUAUUGGACAAUGGGCGCAAGCCUGAUCCAGCCAUACCGCGUGGGUGAAGAAGGCCUUCGGGUUGUAAAGCCCUUUUGUUGGGAAAGAAAAGCAGCAGGUUAAUACCCGGCUGUUCUGACGGUACCCAAAGAAUAAGCACCGGCUAACUUCGUG